AUGUCUUUUUCUCCUCUCAGGGACAAGGAGCAGCUGAAGGCUGGCCAGCCUCAGCCAGAGCCCAGUCUUGGGGAUAUAGAGGUCUCUUUAGUAAGGAGAGUGGCGGGUGGCUUUGCCCUGGGAAAGUGGGCUCCUGGGGUAAGAGGAAAAAGGGGGGGACAUCCCCGACUCCAGAGGGAGGUGGGCUUCUGGGGGGAGAGUCUGAAUGUCCUCCAGUUCAUGCUCCUCUUUUAUUUCCAGGAUUCCCACGAUUUGGAGCCUCUUGAGAUUCCUCGGGGCAUCCUCAGCAAUCUGGCUUUGGUUAUGGAAAGGAAUUCGGAAAGAGUCAAGGAGCAGGUGAAGCCUGGCCAGUGUCAGCCAGGGCCCAGACUUGGGGAAUUGAAGAUCUCCUCGGUAAGGAGGGCAGCGAAUGGCUUUGCCCUGGGAAAGGGGGCUCCCGGGGGAAGAGGGAAAGGGGGGGAACUCCCUGACUCCAGAGGGAGGUGGCCUUCUGGCGAAGGGUGGGAAUGUCCUCCAUUUCACGCCUCUCUUUCAUGGACAGGAUUCCUUGGCAGUCCAACCUCCCCUGACCCCACGGAGCAGCUUGGGUUCCUCGUUAAUAUCAGCGGAAUAGUGAGUCAGAUGAAGGGACCGGAAUGGGUGGCUUAUUUCGGUUCAGAGACACCCCCAGACUCCAGAGCAAGAGGAGGGGCUCGACUGGUCUUGCACGCGUUCAACACCUUCUGCCCAUCUUUCUAGCUCCCUCCCGGGAAAGAGGGCUGGCCCUUGGCCAACCUCCUCCCAGCUGGCAGGGCAGGUCUCGCACCCGGUUCAUGGCUGCAAAGAAGGAAAGGAGCUCCUGUAUUCAGAGGGAGUCUACCUUUGGCAGGAGGAUUGGAAGGAGCCCCUCGGGAGGAGGCCGGCCACUGCUGCCCUGCUGGGCUGAAAAGGGCUCCCCCGACCAGGAGGCCCCUUCCGAUGUCCUGUUCUCACCUCUUGGGUGGGCUUUUUCUCCUAGUCUCCUGGAGGUCCCUCACCAUCGCGCCCCUAGGAGGCUGGAGGAGGAUUCCUUCAGUUGGGUAAGUUUGACCUGCUUUCCUUCCAGUCCCCCUGCCCCCCCCCAGUGGGGUCUGGGCAGCAGCCCUUCCCUCACGGAGGCUGGAGGAGGAUGCCUUCAGUUGGGUAAGUUAGACCUGCUUUCCUUCCAGCCCCCCUGUCCCCGAUGGGGUUUGGGCAGCAGCCCUUGCCUCACUGCAAAGCCAUGCGUAGAAGGUAAGAAGGAAAAGGCAGUGCGUGGCUUUCCCCUAGGAAAGGGAGCUACUGGGGGAACAGCACAAGGGGGGGACCUCCCCGACUCCAGAAAGAAGUAGGCUUCUUGGAGAGGGUCUGAAUGUCCUCCACUUCAUGCUUCUCUUUUAUUUCCAGGAUUCCCAGGAUGUGGACCCUCUUGAGCAACUGGGCUCUGGUUAUGGAAAGCAAUGCGGAAAGGAACCCCCCUCCAUGUCCAGUCCAGCCAGCCAGCCCAGCUCAGGCAGGCUGCCAGCCAAACCAGUCAACAGACCAGCCAGAGCAGCCUGCCAGCCCAGUCAGCUCAAACCAGCCCGACAGUCAGUCCAGUCCUGCCAGCCAGCCAGCCUAGCCCAGACAGACAGCCCAGACAGCUGGACUGCCCAGCCAGACAGCCCAGUUAGCUAGCCAGCCCAGACAGACAGCCAAAACAGCCUAGCCCACCCAGCCCAGCCCAGCCAGCCUGNNNNNN
ensembl:lncRNA